UUGUACCCCCCCCAGUCUCCUCACUGGUGGGGUGAGGAGCAGAAAGGGCCUUGACUCUCUAAGUUCUGCUCAGAAAUAACAAAAACAUCCCUGAAUUAUCAACGCUGUUUUCAGGACCAAGCCAAAACACAGCCCAUACCAUCUACUGUGAAGAAAAUGAACUCAACUUUGGGCAAAACCAGCCCAGAAAAUAAAAGGGGUGCACAUAAAAAUAUAUUAAACAUGACAGCAACAUUAACAGCCUUGUUUGGAGAGAGGAUGUUUUCAUAACAGAAUACAUUAUUUACUGCUCUCUCCUGUAUCAUUCCACCAUGAUGUCAGGAUUGCAUUUUUCCUGGAUGUGUGGAUCUGACAUCAGCCACGUUCGUAUUGCCACGCUCAGCUGAGACACCAAGGUGCAGGAUUUCAGCUGGCAUGAAUCCAACCAGAUCAGCACUGCAGAGCCAGCUGAGCUUAAUUGAACUGUGCUGGAAACCUAAAAGUGAUGAAGCUGCCAGGGAAACAACACAGGUUCCUGCAAUAGAGAAGACCCAGUGACAGGAAGAGCCUCAAAAUGUUUUGUUCUGCUCAAUUGCCAAGAACAGAACAAAGCCACGCAGUUGAGCAGGAGAUCUGGUUUGCACAAUCGUACCUAUGGAGAAGCACUCAGAGGUUGGGAGAUGGUUAUCACCAACCACGUGUCAACAUCUUCAAAACUCAUCUUGAUGGCUUCAUUCUUCUUUUGUGACCUACAGCCUCAACGAGAGUUUUUACAGAAACGGAACACCACGGAACAGCAAAUUUGGGAACCUUGUCACUUGACAAAAAAAACGCUUGGCUCAGAAUGUUAUUUUUCUUAAAUGUAUCUUUCAGCCGCUGUCAUUAAAACUGUUAAAUAGCUUUAGGAACCUGUUUUGUCAAUUACCUUGGGGACAGGAAUGAAAUACUGGGCUGUUAAGCGUGUGCCACAAAAAAUAAACUGCGCCGCGAGAGCCGCGGGAGGAGCGCUCGCGGGGCUGGGCACGCGCCGGCACACCUCAGCUCCUCCUGGAUCCUCCCCACUGCUCCAGCAGCUCUAAUUAGUUGGGAUUAGAUAUUCCCAACUCGGGGAGAUGCUCUCCAUAAAUAUUUGUUUGCGUUUAAGAGCAGAUUUCUGCAAAGGUGCUGGUGCUGACUGUUUCCCGCCAGGAGCAGUGGCAAAGCGCGGAUGCAACGCCCAGAUGUGCACAAUGUGUGUGACCCACAUUGGGCACUGAGGCCACUUGAUCAGCAAAGCUCUGGGUUGUUUCUUCAAGCAGGGCUUUGGUGGGGUAGAUUCUUACAUUUUUAGAUAUAUUUAGUGCAGAAAAAAAUGUGUACACCAUUGUGCAUGAAACUGAACUGCACGAAUGAAUUCUGUGCCUGAGAGCAAGAAUAUUCAUUGUAUACAUUAAUGAUGCCUCAUUUCUAAUUUUUUAUUUCUAAAUAUGGGUGAAGCUGCAUGUCUCUGGAGGGGGGCAUUGCAAUUCUGUUUGGAUGGAUAAAAGUGUUUUAUUCCCACAAUAUUUUUUUUUAAAUAAAUAUUGCCAGUGACAUUGCUAAGAAAAGACACUGCUAGAAAUUAUGAUUAUCAUAACUGUAGUGGACUGGGGUAAUGGUCCUGAGUUAAAGUUCCUGUGGCAAAAGUUUUUGCAAAUUCCAGGGAUUUUUCAAGAGAGCAAGAGGGAAAUCAAAGAUGUUUGUGGGUUUUUUACUCCGUAAAACUCCUUCCAGAAACAAAAUAGGUAGAAAUUAAAGCUACAAACUAGGCAGAAAAGGAACAAAAUAGGAAGGUAAGGAACUGAUUGGAAACCCCAGGAACAGAAUAGAGAGGUAAGGAAGUUUCACAAAAUGUUUUAAUUCUUCUCCUUGAAUGAAAGAGUUAUGUGGGGGAAAAGAAUGCUCAUUUUAAUUUUAUGAAGUGAAAUUUUGUAAAUUCUCUCAGUUUAAUGCCCUGAUCUGUUCUUGCUUGUAAUUAACAGUACUCAGCAGUAGCCCUUAUUAACCUCAGUAACAAUUCAUUUAAAACAAUAUUUUGCAAAAUUGCAGUUGUUUUUUCACUUCUGUGUAUUGCUGCAUGUCUGGGAGAGGUUGUACAGCCACCCAAAACCCACUUCAUCCUCAAAUCCAGGCAUACUUUGCAUUCAGAGCUUUGAAAACCAGCUAAAUUUACACCCAGCUUGCUCUGGAAAUAAAUCUGCUCAUUUAGAUGAGGUCUCAUUUAAAAUGGCUUAGCCCAAUAAUUAAUCAUUUCAUUCUCUUUAUAUAUUUGUGGGUGUUUGAAAGAAGUUUGAUUAGUUACCAGUGAUUACACUUCCUAACACCCUGCAAAGGAAAUAAUAAAAUAAAACCCGUCAGGCUUUUGUAAGGAUUGCUGGAACUGAAUUUGGGCUGAAUUUAAUAGUGACUUACUAACUGGCAAUUAUUUGUCUGCCUUUAACAGGAACUCCAUAAUGAAGGAGGUUAUCAUCCAGGAGUUAUACCCAGCUUGUUUUUAAACCUGCAAAGGGAAGAUACUGUGAACAAAGCAGUGAUGGCUCUUAGGUUCCUCCCCAGCCACCAGGAGAGGAGUGGGGCUGUUUUGGAUCACCUGAGCACAGAUAAUGGACAGAGCUCUUCACCUCACAUCUGUCACUGAGGUCUACAUGUGGUUGCUAAGCCUCCCUUAUCACAUGGAAGGGUGGAGACAGGGCAGCAGUUUUCUCUGGAAAAGAGACAGAUGAUCAUGCCAAGUUGUGGAGAAGUACUGGCAAUGGCUUCGCUGGGGAGAGAUUGAGACACCCUUUCGACAGGAGCCAACACCCAUUUUGAGAUGAAAAAUGUCCAUCCCACCAUCCAGCUCUGCAGUGUCUCCUCCAGCAGGAUCUUCUCUGGGAAAACUCCCACUGCUGUGUCUGCCAUGAGCAGCCAACUGGCCUCAGUUAAAC